CAUAUCGACGGCGGUGUUUGGCACCUCGAUGUCGGCUCAUCACAUCCUGGGGCUGAAGUAGGUCCCAAGGGUAUGGCUGUUCGCCAUUUAAAGUGGUACGCGAGCUGGGUUUAGAACGUCGUGAGACAGUUCGGUCCCUAUCUGCCGUGGGCGCUGGAGAACUGAGGGGGGCUGCUCCUAGUACGAGAGGACCGGAGUGGACGCAUCACUGGUGUUCGGGUUGUCAUGCCAAUGGCACUGCCCGGUAGCUAAAUGCGGAAGAGAUAAGUGCUGAAAGCAUCUAAGCACGAAACUUGCCCCGAGAUGAGUUCUCCCUGAGACUUUAGGUCUCCUGAAGGAACGUUGAAGACGACGACGUUGAUAGGCCGGGUGUGUAAGCGCAGCGAUGCGUUGAGCUAACCGGUACUAAUGAACCGUGAGGCUUAACCUU
rnacentral:rRNA from 1 species